rnacentral:rRNA from 1 species
AAGUUUUUUCUGCCCGGUGAAUUUUAACGGCCGCGGUAUCCUGACCGUGCAAAGGUAGCAUAAUCACUUGUCCUUUAAUUGGGGGCUAGAAUGAAAGAAAGUUUGAGGCUUUAUCUGUCUCUUUUUUACUAGCAAAAUUUGCUCUUUUUGUGAAGAAGCAAAAGUUCCUUAAAAAGACAAGAAGACCCUAUUAAGCUUAAUCUUUUCAUUUUUAUUUCUUUUUAGUAAAAAUGAAAAGAUUUGGUUGGGGUGACUAAAGAAGACUUGUAUCUUCUUUUUUUAAUAAAACUAUGUGUUUAAGAAUGACCCAAAAUUUUUUGGUUAUAAGAAUUAGUUACUAUAGGGAUAACAGCGUAAUCUUUUCAUAAAGUUCUUAUUGAAGAAAAGGAUUGCGACCUCGA